CGGAUAAUGGACAUGGUGAGCAACC
rnacentral:piRNA from 1 species